rnacentral:rRNA from 1 species
UACAGAGGUCUCAAGCGUUGUUCGGAUUCAUUGGGCGUAAAGGGUGUGUAGGUGGCGCCGUAAGUCGGGUGUGAAAUUUCGGAGCUUAACUCCGAAACUGCAUUCGAUACUGCGGUGCUUGAGGACUGGAGAGGAGACUGGAAUUCAUGGUGUAGCAGUGAAAUGCGUAGAGAUCAUGAGGAAGACCAGUGGCGAAGGCGGGUCUCUGGACAGUUCCCUGACACUGAGACACGAAGGCCAGGGGAGCAAACGGG